GAGAAAACCUUGUUGAGCUUGACUCUAGUACGGCUUUG
rnacentral:rRNA from 14 species